rnacentral:rRNA from 1 species
AUGAACGCUAGCUACAGGCUUAACACAUGCAAGUCGAGGGGCAGCAUGGUCUUAGCUUGCUAAGACUGAUGGCGACCGGCGCACGGGUGAGUAACACGUAUCCAACCUGCCGUCUACUCUUGGACAGCCUUCUGAAAGGAAGAUUAAUACAAGAUGGCAUCAUGAGUCCGCAUGUUCACAUGAUUAAAGGUAUUCCGGUAGACGAUGGGGAUGCGUUCCAUUAGAUAGUAGGCGGGGUAACGGCCCACCUAGUCUUCGAUGGAUAGGGGUUCUGAGAGGAAGGUCCCCCACAUUGGAACUGAGACACGGUCCAAACUCCUACGGGAGGCAGCAGUGAGGAAUAUUGGUCAAUGGGCGAGAGCCUGAACCAGCCAAGUAGCGUGAAGGAUGACUGCCCUAUGGGUUGUAAACUUCUUUUAUAAAGGAAUAAAGUCGGGUAUGGAUACCCGUUUGCAUGUACUUUAUGAAUAAGGAUCGGCUAACUCCGUGCCAGCAGCCGCGGUAAUACGGAGGAUCCGAGCGUUAUCCGGAUUUAUUGGGUUUAAAGGGAGCGUAGAUGGAUGUUUAAGUCAGUUGUGAAAGUUUGCGGCUCAACCGUAAAAUUGCAGUUGAUACUGGAUAUCUUGAGUGCAGUUGAGGCAGGCGGAAUUCGUGGUGUAGCGGUGAAAUGCUUAGAUAUCACGAAGAACUCCGAUUGCGAAGGCAGCCUGCUAAGCUGCAACUGACAUUGAGGCUCGAAAGUGUGGGUAUCACACAGGAUUAGAUACCCUGGUAGUCCACACGGUAAACGAUGAAUACUCGCUGUUUGCGAUAUACUGCAAGCGGCCAAGCGAAAGCGUUAAGUAUUCCACCUGGGGAGUACGCCGGCAACGGUGAAACUCAAAGGAAUUGACGGGGGCCCGCACAAGCGGAGGAACAUGUGGUUUAAUUCGAUGAUACGCGAGGAACCUUACCCGUGCUUAAAUUGCAGAUGAAUUACGGUGAAAGCCGUAAGCCGCAAGGCAUCUGUGAAGGUGCUGCAUGGUUGUCGUCAGCUCGUGCCGUGAGGUGUCGGCUUAAGUGCCAUAACGAGCGCAACCCUUGUUGUCAGUUACUAACAGGUUCCGCUGAGGACUCUGACAAGACUGCCAUCGUAAGAUGUGAGGAAGGUGGGGAUGACGUCAAAUCAGCACGGCCCUUACGUCCGGGGCUACACACGUGUUACAAUGGGGGGUACAGAGGGCCGCUACCACGCGAGUGGAUGCCAAUCCCCAAAACCUCUCUCAGUUCGGACUGGAGUCUGCAACCCGACUCCACGAAGCUGGAUUCGCUAGUAAUCGCGCAUCAGCCACGGCGCGGUGAAUACGUUCCCGGGCCUUGUACACACCGCCCGUCAAGCCAUGGGAGCCGGGGGUACCUGAAGUGCGUAACCGCGAGGAGCGCCCUAGGGUAAAACUGGUGACUGGGGCU